CAAUAAGAAGUGGUGCUGUGAAGAGAACAAUAGUCAGACUGAAUGUUGAACAUCAGCUGCUUCCUCCUGCUGAUUUAAACCUUGGUGGACAGAUGGAACAUUGGCUGUGGAUUAUUCUGGCUGCUCUUUUCUCUGAGUGUAAAGGAGACUCAGUGAAGCAGACAGAAGGAGAAGUUGUUGCUGCUGCAGGAGAAUCACUGACUCUGAGAUGUACCUAUGAGACCAGCUAUGGAACUGGGACCUUAUUCUGGUACAAGCAAGAAGAAACCAGUUCUCCAAAGUACAUGUUGAAACGUGUGUCAUCAGAUGGAGACAAUGCUCCCGAGUUUAGCAAAGACAGAUUUGAUGCAAAGGUCACUAACUCAGACUUUGACCUGAAGAUCCAGGAUCUCCAUCUGUCAGACUCUGCUGUGUACUACUGCGCUCUGCAGCCCACAGUGACAGGAAACACCAGAACCCUGUACAAAAACCUGCAGUUCUCCACAGCAGCCACUAGAGGGCCUCACUCCCUGUUAAUCCACUAAAACCUGCAGUACUCCACAGCAGCCACUAGAGGGAUGUUUGAAAGUACAUUAGACCAUUUAAAAACAUACAUGUUGGUUUUGGCAGGAAUUCGUCUUUAUGGAAAAAAAGUAUUAUUAAAUGUUUUAAUAUAUAGUUUAUUAUAUUCAAAACAUUCUUAAUUAAGAAUGUUCUCAAAGUUAAUUAACUAUUGAUUAAUGGCUAAAUAAGGUUUAGUUAUUAAAAGUUUGUUCCAGUUUUCUGCUGCAUCGUCUUGGAACCAGUGUCAGACUUACAUGAACCUAAAGGGUCUGUUGUCUCUGAAUAUUUCUCAGACUGUUCUUUGAGAAGGAAACAUGUAAAUUUAUGACUGUGAACUUUUUCUGUUUUGCUGUGUGAAUGUUCUGUAAAUUGUGAGCUGCUGCCAGUCUUGGCCAGGAUUCUCUUGUAAAAGAUUUUUAAUCUCUGUGGGAUAAAUCAAUAAUAAUCAUUAUCUUAUGA